rnacentral:rRNA from 1 species
CUCAGAUUGAACGCUGGCGGCAGGCCUAACACAUGCAAGUCGAGCGGAAACGAGUUAUCUGAACCUUCGGGGAACGAUAACGGCGUCGAGCGGCGGACGGGUGAGUAAUGCCUAGGAAAUUGCCCUGAUGUGGGGGAUAACCAUUGGAAACGAUGGCUAAUACCGCAUGAUGCCUACGGGCCAAAGAGGGGGACCUUCGGGCCUCUCGCGUCAGGAUAUGCCUAGGUGGGAUUAGCUAGUUGGUGAGGUAAGGGCUCACCAAGGCGACGAUCCCUAGCUGGUCUGAGAGGAUGAUCAGCCACACUGGAACUGAGACACGGUCCAGACUCCUACGGGAGGCAGCAGUGGGGAAUAUUGCACAAUGGGCGCAAGCCUGAUGCAGCCAUGCCGCGUGUAUGAAGAAGGCCUUCGGGUUGUAAAGUACUUUCAGUCGUGAGGAAGGUGGUGUAGUUAAUAGCGGCAUUAUUUGACGUUAGCGACAGAAGAAGCACCGGCUAACUCCGUGCCAGCAGCCGCGGUAAUACGGAGGGUGCGAGCGUUAAUCGGAAUUACUGGGCGUAAAGCGCAUGCAGGUGGUUUGUUAAGUCAGAUGUGAAAGCCCGGGGCUCAACCUCGGAAUAGCAUUUGAAACUGGCAGACUAGAGUACUGUAGAGGGGGGUAGAAUUUCAGGUGUAGCGGUGAAAUGCGUAGAGAUCUGAAGGAAUACCGGUGGCGAAGGCGGCCCCCUGGACAGAUACUGACACUCAGAUGCGAAAGCGUGGGGAGCAAACAGGAUUAGAUACCCUGGUAGUCCACGCCGUAAACGAUGUCUACUUGGAGGUUGUGGCCUUGAGCCGUGGCUUUCGGAGCUAACGCGUUAAGUAGACCGCCUGGGGAGUACGGUCGCAAGAUUAAAACUCAAAUGAAUUGACGGGGGCCCGCACAAGCGGUGGAGCAUGUGGUUUAAUUCGAUGCAACGCGAAGAACCUUACCUACUCUUGACAUCCAGAGAACUUUCCAGAGAUGGAUUGGUGCCUUCGGGAACUC